GACGAACGCUGGCGGCGUGCUUAACACAUGCAAGUCGAACGGAAAGGCCCUGCUUUUGUGGGGUGCUCGAGUGGCGAACGGGUGAGUAACACGUGAGUAACCUGCCCUUGACUUUGGGAUAACUUCGGGAAACUGGGGCUAAUACCGUAUAGGAGCUCCUGCUGCAUGGUGGGGGGUGGAAAGUUUCGGCGGUUGGGGAUGGACUCGCGGCUUAUCAGCUUGUUGGUUGGGUAGUGGCUUACCAAGGCUGUGACGGGUAGCCGGCCUGAGAGGGUGACCGGCCACAUUGGGACUGAGAUACGGCCCAGACUCCUACGGGAGGCAGCGGUGGGGAAUAUUGCACAAUGGGCGGAAGCCUGAUGCAGCAACGCCGGGUGCGGGAUGACGGCCUUCGGGUUGUAAACCGCUUUCGCCUGUGACGAAGCGUGAGUGACGGUAAUGGGUAAAGAAGCACCGGCUAACUACGUG
rnacentral:rRNA from 1 species